rnacentral:rRNA from 1 species
ACUCCUACGGGAGGCAGCAGUGGGGAAUAUUGCACAAUGGGGGAAACCCUGAUGCAGCGACGCCGCGUGAGUGAAGAAGUGUUUCGGUAUGUAAAGCUCUAUCAGCAGGGAAGAAAAUGACGGUACCUGACUAAGAAGCCCCGGCUAACUACGUGCCAGCAGCCGCGGUAAU